GAGAGAGAGGAGAGGAGAGGAGGAGGAGGAGGAGGGAGAAGGGAACAACCUACCAUCUUAACACACUAAUAUCUAAAAAGUGCGAGAGGCCCAGAGCAGCAGCAGAAGCAGCAGCAGCAGCUCCAGCUUCUUCCCUCCCUCCCCAUGAAGAAGAGUUCCCUCCUCCUCCUCCUCCUGCUUCUCCUGCUCAGAGUUCCUGCCUCCAGCUGCCAGGGGGGACAGCCAGCCAGCAGCAGGAGGGGGGUUAGAGAGCUGAAGAAGAGCCAGUUUUCCCAAAAUUGCUGCAGUGAGAAGAGGAGUUUGUUACUUUAAACAGAGGCUGAAGAAACUAUAGAAUCAGCAGAGAAAGUGGAGAAGGUAGAGGAUGGAGUUGCAGACUCUACAGGAAGCUCUUAAAGUGGAAAUUCAGGUUCACCAGAAACUGGUUGCUCAAAUGAAGCAGGAUCCACAGAAUGCUGACUUAAAGAAACAGCUUCAUGAACUCCAAGCCAAAAUCACAGCUUUGAGUGAGAAACAGAAAAGAGUAGUUGAACAGCUACGGAAGAACCUGAUAGUAAAGCAAGAACAACCGGACAAGUUCCAAAUACAGCCAUUGCCACAAUCUGAAAACAAACUACAAACAGCACAGCAGCAACCACUACAGCAACUACAACAGCAGCAGCAGUACCAUCACCACCACCCCCAGCAGUCAGCUGCAGCCUCUCCCAACCUGACUGCUUCACAGAAGACUGUAACUACAGCUUCUAUGAUUACCACAAAGACACUACCUCUCGUCUUGAAAGCAGCAACUGCGACCAUGCCUGCCUCUGUGGUGGGCCAGAGACCUACCAUUGCUAUGGUGACCGCCAUCAACAGUCAGAAAGCUGUGCUCAGCACUGAUGUGCAGAACACACCAGUCAACCUCCAGACGUCUAGUAAGGUCACUGGGCCUGGGGCAGAGGCUGUCCAAAUUGUGGCAAAAAACACAGUCACUCUGCAGGUUCAGGCAACACCUCCUCAGCCCAUCAAAGUACCACAGUUUAUCCCCCCUCCUAGACUCACUCCACGUCCAAACUUUCUUCCACAGGUUCGACCCAAGCCUGUGGCCCAGAAUAACAUUCCUAUUGCCCCAGCACCACCUCCCAUGCUCGCAGCUCCUCAGCUUAUCCAGAGGCCUGUCAUGCUGACCAAGUUCACCCCCACAACCCUUCCCACAUCCCAGAAUUCCAUCCACCCCGUCCGUGUCGUCAAUGGGCAGACUGCAACCAUAGCCAAAACGUUUCCCAUGGCCCAGCUCACCAGCAUUGUGAUAGCUACUCCAGGGACCAGACUCGCUGGACCUCAAACUGUACAGCUUAGCAAGCCAAGUCUUGAAAAACAGACAGUUAAAUCUCACACAGAAACAGAUGAGAAGCAAACAGAAAGCCGCACCAUCACCCCACCUGCUGCACCCAAACCAAAACGGGAGGAGAACCCUCAGAAACUUGCCUUCAUGGUGUCUCUAGGGUUGGUAACACAUGACCAUCUAGAAGAAAUCCAAAGCAAGAGACAAGAGCGAAAAAGAAGAACAACAGCAAAUCCGGUCUACAGCGGAGCAGUCUUUGAGCCAGAGCGUAAGAAGAGUGCAGUCACAUACCUAAACAGCACAAUGCACCCUGGGACCCGGAAGAGAGGUCGUCCUCCAAAAUACAAUGCAGUGCUGGGGUUUGGAGCCCUUACCCCAACAUCCCCCCAAUCCAGUCAUCCUGACUCCCCUGAACAUGAAAAGACAGAGACCACAUUCACUUUCCCUGCACCUGUUCAGCCUGUGUCCCUGCCCAGCCCCACCUCCACAGACGGUGAUAUUCAUGAGGAUUUUUGCAGCGUUUGCAGAAAAAGUGGCCAGUUACUGAUGUGUGACACGUGUUCCCGUGUAUAUCAUCUGGACUGCUUAGACCCCCCUCUGAAAACAAUUCCCAAGGGCAUGUGGAUCUGUCCCAGAUGUCAGGACCAGAUGCUGAAGAAGGAAGAAGCAAUUCCAUGGCCUGGAACUUUAGCAAUUGUUCAUUCCUAUAUUGCCUACAAAGCAGCAAAAGAAGAAGAGAAACAGAAGUUACUGAAAUGGAGUUCAGAUUUAAAACAAGAACGAGAACAACUAGAGCAAAAGGUGAAACAGCUCAGCAAUUCCAUAAGUUCACCUGAGCGAGCGGGCCCAUCCACACGGCCCUCCCUUGCUCUUGCUUCCACACCAUGCUGAUUGCAUUUCCCGGUUUUCCUGACCAGUGUGAGGAAGUGGGCUUUCUAGAGACAAGUAUUGGAAAAAUGCAUGGAAAUGAAGAACACCAUCCUGGCCCGGCAGAAGGAGAUGCACAGCUCCUUGGAGAAGGUAAAACAGCUGAUUCGCCUCAUCCACGGCAUCGACCUCUCCAAACCUGUAGACUCUGAGGCCACUGUGGGGGCCAUCUCCAACGGCCCGGACUGCACCCCCCCUGCCAACGCCGCCACCUCCACGCCGGCCCCUUCCCCCUCCUCCCAGAGCUGCACAGCGAACUGUAACCAAGGGGAAGAGACUAAAUAACAGAGCCCCUCUAGGAGAAGCCACGGGAUCCCGGCGGCAAGGAGAGCAGAACACUGAAGACUCUAGAAAAGCAAAGCCGGAUUUCCGGAAAGUGCAGAAUUCUUUUGGUUCUUUGGUUCCAGAGAGAGAGAAGAUGCUUGUGCCAGGUGGCACCAGAGUUUGCCAAUUGAUCCUUCUUAUUCUGUGUGUACAUGCAAAGAUUGGACCAUGUUACAUGAAAUAGUGCCAGCUGGAGGUUCUUUGCCAGCACCAUGCCAAGUGAAAUAAUAUAUUUACUCUCUCUAUUAUACACCAGUGUGUGCCUGCAGCAGCCUCCACAGCCACGAUGGGUUUGUUUCUGUUUUCUUGGGUGGGGAGCAGGGACGGGCGGAGGGAGGAGAGCAGGUUUCAGAUCCUUACUUGCCGAGCCGUUUGUUUAGGUAGAGAAGACAAGUCCAAAGAGUGUGUGGGCUUUCCUGUUUCUAAACUUUCGCUACUAUAAAACCAAAAAAAGGAAUUGAGAUUCAACCAACCCCAGUGCCCAGAAGAGGGAAUGGGAGUGGCUGGAGGGAGCCGGGGGUGGGACGGUGUAUCACAUAAGCAGUAUUUAAUCACGUCUGGCGGGGGCCUCGCAGGGGAGACGGACACCGAGGACGGCCAGUAGGUUCUUCUCCCCCGCGCUCUGCCCCCUCCCCGUGGGAACUCCCCAUCCUGAAGCCUGCCCAGCCUCCUUCCUUCCCUGCUUGGUGAAUCGCGCAUCCCCGUGUUAUCCCACUGUCUCCUCUCCAAGAACAAGCAGAGCCCAGGCCGCUGGCCCUUGCCUGGGGCAGGGAAGAAGGAUGUGUAUGUCCAGGAAGGAAAAAAAGGUGGAUCAGUGAUUUUACUUGAAAACAAGCUCCAUCCCUUUUCUAUAUUUAUAAGAAGAGAAGAUCUUGAGUGAAGCAGCACGCGACCCAGGUGUGUGUGAAUUGAAUGGAGACAUUUCUUUUCUCUCUUUUUUUUUUUUUUAUUUUUGUUUUUGUUCUUUUUUUCUUUAAGGAAAGUUUUAUUUUAUUGUUCAUUUUACUUUCUUGGUAACAAAAACUAAAAUAAGGAAUAGAAAAGCUGUUUUUCAGGCUGACAGUCCAAUUAAGGGUAGCCGAGACCUUGCAUGGUAGAGUAGGAAUCAUAGUGUCAGUGAGGUCCCGUGAGUCUUUGUGAGUCCUUGUGUCAUCGUUCGGGCACUGGUUUUUUAUGCAAGGGCAAAAAUCUUUGUAUCUGGGGAAAAAAAAAAAAAACAACUUUUUUUUAAAUUAAAAAGGAAAAUAAAAGAUAUUGAGGUCUUCCUAGUGUUACUUAAAUUAAGAUCAAGGUAAGAAACAUUGUAAAAAAAAAUUACAAAAGUGCUAUUUGUUUCCUAAAAACAGUGAUUUCUAUUAAAAAGGUGUCAGAACUGGAGAAAAUGCCGUGUAGUUACCAUUUUUUAGCACAGACCCUGCUGAUGACGAUGACAUUUUGCCGUGUGUGUCUCUAGACUGUGGGCCAGUCUCCUUGACAGACCGGGUGGAGCUCCCCGCCCUUCCCUCUCCUCAGAAAAGACCGUGCUCUCUUCUUGGUGCAGGGAUCUUGUCUCCUGUUGUGAAGCCCAAAUGGAAGUCUGGCCGGUGUCAGGGCCCUCCCCAUGGUCUUCUUAGAUUCCGCUAGAGCAAAAGGCUGGUGCCUAAAUAAGAUCCCUUCCUUUGGUGCUGCUUUUGGUCUUUCAGCCACCAGCAUUACGAGUGCCUGGGGGACACCUCCAAGGGAACUGGCCAGUGGAGCUCAGUGGUGCCCAUGCACCCUGGCUGUGGCAGGAGGGUGCGGGAGUGCAGGCUGGCUGCAUCAGCCUUUGGUGCUUAGAAAGAACAGAGGAGUGACAUGUCUCGAGGGUAUGUCUCUGAGACAGAGCCCCAGGGUGGCCUUCGCUCUGACUUGCUUUUGGGGAGAGGUCUGAAGCUGUCGCUCCUUUCUCUGCCUGUUGGCCGCAGGCACCAGAAAUGGAAUUCAUUCCACUCGUCCCACCCACAAGUCUCCUGGGUGACCCUUGGCUAGAAUUGCUGCGCUUGCCUUGGCUUGGCCUGUUGUGGCCCCUCCUUCUUGAGAAAACCAGGGUUCUGAAAGGCUCAGACCAUUCUCUCAUCUUGCCUUGUGGGAAGUAAACGGUGUCAGAUGCGUGCUCUGGCUGGAGACCUUUUCCUCUUGAGUGCCCCUGGCUGCCGGAGGGCAGUGGAGGCUCGGUACCCGGGCCUGCUGGAGCAUCUCCCCGAAGCCCACUCCAGACCCUGGUAACAGCCAGAGUCGGGGAGGGAUAGAAACGGUCCCAUUAGCUUCUCUCCCACCCAGUUAGGCCCAGAGAGACAAAAGACAGAUCUGAAAGCAAAUUCAACAGAGAAGAGAUGCUUCUUAGAGGAAAAUGUGUCUCAUCCAUAUCAGCUGUCGCCAUUCAUCUUCCCAAGGACCUCAGAAGAGGGAGUUAAGUUUGGCUGAACAGGCCUCAGUUAGGCCCUGGCUGCUUGAUUGGCUGACGGGGAAAGAGUUCCCUUUUCUCAGAAACCAAGGUGCUGUGCCUGGUCAGGGAGCCUUGGAGAUGCCUGGACUAGCUGGAGGAAUCGGUGGCAGAGGAUCAGAGACCAGCAGCAGGCUGCCUGCCCCGUCUAGAGCUCUUCCCCUCAACUUGUCUGGGCCCAUCUCGGGGUUGCCGCAACAGUUAACUCUCCUUUUCCUGAAAGAAGUUGGGAAGCCAUCAUCACUAGAGGCCUUUGCUCAGAGAGGAGCUGCCUGAGGAGUCUCAGGGGUAGGGGGGAUGAGGCUAGGAAUUGACUGGAGCUUUGCCUGCCGCCCUGAGCAGCGUGAGUACGUUCUGACCUCGCCUGCAGCCGGUGUGGAUUCUUCCUGACAUUCAGAUGUGAGCUGUUUUGGGAGUCAGCUAGUAUGGAGUGCAAGAUGGAAUCCUGCCCACAAACCUAUAUUCUGGACUCGAAUUCCAAAACACUGCUUUACUGUGAAAGAAGAGGCCCCCCGGCACUCAACCUCCCCGUCCUUCACUGUCCCCCCAGACUGCCAGAGACACAUGCUCCUGACACUGCCCCGCCCAGCCACCUCCACUUGCUUCCUCCUCCUUCCUUUCGCUGCUGUUUCCCCAUGGCCCAGAAUUUAGCUGCUCUGACAGCUACUUAUCUGAGACCAGCUGGCUUUGCAGUCACUUCGGAGAGCUGGAGUGGCUGCCCACUGGGCCCUGCCUGGGAGUCCCCUGCCAGCUCCUGAUCAGGCGCUGCGCCCUGGUGGCGGUGAGGUCAUGUUGCUGUCAUCUCCACCUCUGCAUUCUUGCUGCCUGCGGGUCCUUUUUCUUUCAUGGAGCCUGCUGGGUCUUGUCUCACCUGUGCUGAGCUCAUUGGGGUUUUGAUUUCUUCCUUCCUUAUUAGGCCCUUUGUGGUAAGCCUGCUGGUUGUACCUGACAGGGGUAGACAGCUACGGGCAGUCCCUGGUGGGGCCACCCUGGCAGCCUCCAGCUGGCACCAUCGUGUGCCUGGUUUCCCUGCAAGGCCUGUCUCUCUGUCCCUGCUGCUGCUUGGCUCAGGCCCAGCAGGCAGUGUGCGUGGGCCAGGUGCACGCAGCUGUGUCUGUGCAGGUGGCCGUGUCUGUAGCACACUUCUGUCUCCGCAUGCACGCUGCCUCUCCUGCCACCUCUGAUACUUCUCUCUUGGGGCUAACGGAGCCCUUGGGCUCUCCCCUCCCAGCUCACACACACUCUUCAGAGGUUUCUUCCCUUCAUUCCCUUGUAGGGCGUGGUCCUUUUUACUUAUCUAAAGGGCUGAAUUUAGGAGACUACCCAGAGGCAAAAGGCUCUUAGGGUAAUGGGAUGGAGCGCGGCCCGGGGCAUUUUCCAGGGCCUGUGUCUCCAGAUCCCGAGGCUUCUGUUGAGUAGAGGCAACUUUGCUCUGUGUGGACCUCGCCCCUGCCCUCAGCCAGGCACCCCUGGCAGGAAGCAGGACUCCCAUCCUCACCCUUAGACUGUCCUCCGAGUCAGCUCCUCUGGGCAGUCUUCUGGCCCCCUCGCUAAAGUGAGAGGCAGGAAGCUGGGGCUGCCCUCCAGAAAGCCGGGGUAGGAACUCUGAAAAGUAGCUCCUGUAAACAGAAGCAGGGCUCCCCAGUUCCACUUGGCACCCCCUCCCACAAGACCCUUCCUCCCUGAGGACCCAGCCUCCCCCGCCCCUGCCCGUCCCCAGCAGCCUUUGGGCCCUCACCUCUCCCCGGUCUCCGUGGGUCCUCAGUCCAGGUGAGCCGCAGCCAGGCGGUGGGGACGGGCAGGCCAGAGGUCAGCCAGCUCCUAGCAGAGAAGAGCCAGCCAGACCCCAACCCUGUCUCUUGUCCAUGCCCUUUGUGAUUUCAGUCUUGGUAGACUUGUAUUUGGAGUUUUGUGCUUCAAAGUUUUUGUUUCUGUUUGGUUUUUGUUUUGAGGGGGUGGGGGGGAUACAGAGCAGCUGAUCAAUUUGUAUUUAUUUAUUUUAACAUUUUACUAAAUAAAGCCAAAUAAAGCCUCU